rnacentral:rRNA from 1 species
UGAGUAACGCGUGGAUAACCUGCCUCACACUGGGGGAUAACAGUUAGAAAUGACUGCUAAUACCGCAUAAGCGCACAGUGCCGCAUGGCAGUGUGUGAAAAACUCCGGUGGUGUGAGAUGGAUCCGCGUCUGAUUAGGUAGUUGGUGGGGUAACGGCCCACCAAGCCGACGAUCAGUAGCCGACCUGAGAGGGUGACCGGCCACAUUGGGACUGAGACACGGCCCAAACUCCUACGGGAGGCAGCAUG